UACGUAGGCAGCAAGCGUUGUUCGGAGUUACUGGGCGUAAAGGGUGUGUAGGCGGUUGCUUAAGUUUGGUGUGAAAUCUCCCGGCUCAACUGGGAGGGUGCGCCGAAUACUGAGUGACUCGAGCGCGGGAGAGGAAAGUGGAAUUCCUGGUGUAGCGGUGAAAUGCGUAGAUAUCAGGAGGAACACCGGUGGUGUAAACGGCUUUCUGGACCGUAACUGACGCUGAAACACGAAAGCGUGGGGAG
rnacentral:rRNA from 1 species